rnacentral:rRNA from 1 species
CCUACGGGUGGCUGCAGUGGGGAAUUUUGGACAAUGGGCGCAAGCCUGAUCCAGCAAUGCCGCGUGCGGGAAGAAGGCCUUCGGGUUGUAAACCGCUUUUGUCAGGGAAGAAAUCUCUUGGGCUAAUACCUCGGGGGGAUGACGGUACCUGAAGAAUAAGCACCGGCUAACUACGUGCCAGCAGCCGCGGUAAUACGUAGGGUGCAAGCGUUAAUCGGAAUUACUGGGCGUAAAGCGGCAACAGGGGGUUGAAAGCCCCGGGCUCAACCUGGGAACCGCAUUUGUGACUGCACGGCUAGAGUGCGGCAGAGGGGGAUGGAAUUCCGCGUGUAGCAGUGAAAUGCGUAGAUAUGCGGAGGAACACCGAUGGCGAAGGCAAUCCCCUGGGCCUGCACUGACGCUCAUGCACGAAAGCGUGGGGAGCAAACAGGAUUAGAUACCCCAGUAGUC